UGUGAGUUCAAGCUCUAGUACCAAUACCUAAAUUAAUGAAUGAAUUAGUGAAUUAAUUUUAAAAAUUUGCAAAUUCAAGACAUCCAAGUAGUAUCUACUUCUCUAAAUAUUGCGCACACCUCAUGCAUUCACAAUUCUGUGACUUUGCCCAGAAUUUUUGUUUCCUCUGCCUGGAAUAGAUUAGUUUUUCCUCUACCACCACCAGACCAACAUGGCACACUUACCCUACAAAACAACCAGCUUUCACCUCUUCUGAGAAGCCCAUUCUCCUUCCUCACUCCCACAGAAUUAGCCACAUCUACUGUGCUACCCUAGUCCUGGAGGGUAGCUGGAUUUGUGUUCCUAGGUUGACUGAAGUCCUUCCAUGGGGGGCUAUGUUCUGAGUCUCUCUUUAGACUCCCUGCAGUGUGCACAAGCCAAACCCAGUGUACCCAGGAUGGCAGAAGUUCACUGAUUUGAGUUUCAUCUGUUUGCCAUGUAAUGGCUCUUCUUUUUCACUCUCUACAGAAAACAGGUGAUUGCUUUUCUCUGCUCACUCUUGGAAGCCCUGCUCCCACGCAGCAACACCGUCCCUCCCAGUUCUCUGAUGGAUGAAGAAGGCGACCUGAUCCAGCCUCAAGACCAGAGCUGCUGGGCUUCCCUGCCCGACGUGUGCCUUCGUCGCGUUUUCUGGUGGCUGGGAGACAGGGACAGGUCCAGGGCGGCCCUGGUCUGCAGGAAAUGGAACCAGAUGAUGUACUCGGCUGACCUCUGGCGCUACCGGACCAUCACCUUCAGUGGAAGACCAUCCAGGGCACAUGCGUCGGAAUUCGAGUCCGCCCUGUGGUAUGUGAAGAAAUUUGGUCGUUACCUGGAACAUCUGGAGAUCAAGUUUCUGAAUCCGUACAAUGCCGUCUUGACCAAGAAGUUCCAGAUCACCAUGCGAGGUCUGCUCGCAUGCCUGGGCAAGAGUAACAGCCGUCUGAAGUCUCUCUCCAUCCAGCACCUGGAGAUGGACCGUCUGGUCUGGAGGAACAGUAUCAGGAACUCGCUCAUCAAGAGCUUGAGUUUCUUCCUCAAGAAGAUGGGCAAACACCUGGAUCAGCUCAGCCUGAAAGGGGCCAGGUUGACGGUGGAGCAAGGCUGCAACAUCCUCAACUCCCUGAGCUACCUGAAGAAUGUGAGCCUGGCCUCGGAGCUUAACAUCGAAGAUUUCUUCAGCCACCAUCUAGCUGUCUACAGCAGCCCCCAGUUUCACAAGACCAUGAACACAUUCUGCAACCUUACAUCCCUGACACUCAACUACAACUGUAUCUCUGAUGAGCUGCUGGAGAGCUUGGGCGAGAACAAUGCCAGCACCCUUGGGACCAUGAACAUCAAAUGCCACAUUCACGACCCCCAUGGGCAGGUGGUCUGGGGUAUGUCCUGGGCCAAGCUGGCUAAGCAGGCCAACAACCUGAAGGUGAACUUCUUCUUUGAACGGGUCAUGAAAUACGAGCGUUUGGUUCGGAUCCUCCUGCAAGAGAUUCCCGUGAGGAGUGUCAGCCUCCGAAGCUGCUAUUUUAGUGAUCCAGACUGGUCCAUGCGGCCCACUCUCACCGACCUCCUGCCCACCUUCCGGUACACUCUGCAGGUUGGAGCCACACACAGGAGACCCUUUGUAUGCUAAGUAGGAGGGCCUAUUCCACCCACUUACUACAGGGCCUGGUAAUGGGAAAGAGGAGAAUGGAAAGAACCAACCAGAAAUUAACUUUUGAGUUCAACAAUAACCACGAGUCACUCGAUGAGGAGCUACACCUCCUCAUCCUGUCCUGCA